rnacentral:ncRNA from 2 species
AUAGUUACCAAAAAUAAAGAUGCGAAAUCGCUUAAAAGGGAAUGUGGUGAAAUUCCACAGCUGCCCCCGCAACUGUAAGUGUGGACGAAAUGAUGGAACCACUGUUGAAAGUAGACGGGAAGGAAUCAAAGUAGGCUGAUACACGAGUCAGGAGACCUGUCUUUAUUUUGAAUGUUUC